GGACCUUUAGCUUAGUGGAAGAGCAGGCAGCUCAUAACUGUCCGGUCGUAGGUUCGAAUCCUACAAGGUCUA
rnacentral:tRNA from 1 species